rnacentral:lncRNA from 1 species
UUGACCAUGGAUCACCAUGCUCCGGUGCUUGAAUAAGGUGAAGCUCUUCAUGAAACUUGUUCCAAUGGAUGUUGACUACAACAUAUCCGAAUGUGAGCUCCAUUGAACAAGUAUAGCCUAGCCAACCGAUCUAGCAUUGAUCCUAACUCUGGAAUUGUGGUUUGGACCACCUUUACCUCUAUUGGAUGUCACCCUCUCUUUUCUACUUGUUACGACACCACUUGGUAACAAUAUUUUACCUAGGUAAGCUGAUCC